GGAUGGGGCCCCAGACAGCCUCGUCUGGUGGGUGGCAACUCUGCUCAGGGAAUUAGAGAAUGGGCUUUAAGGCCCAUUCUAACCCAAGCCAUUCAUUCUAUGAUUCUAUUAUCUCACAUCAGUCUCUUCUAGAUAGAAUUUCUGAGAGGAAAGUUAAUUAAUCACAAACUGUCAAGGGAGCAUAUUAAAAGACUUUCCAGAGUACCUUUCCCAUGAGUUUUGUUAUAGGAGAAAGUAGCAUGAUCCUCACUUUCUUCAUGGUGGUUUAGUUCAAAGUUUGGUGCUCUCUUUAUUUAAUUCCCUUUUCCAUAAAUGCUUUCUAAUACUCCAGCUUUUCCACCUUUGUACAUUGCAUCCGUUCUUAGUACAGUGAGGAACCAAACAGAGUAAACUACAUUUCUCAGCUGCUGUUUCUCUUCAUUAAGAUUAAGAUUGAUGGCAGUGGGAAGAAGAAAGGGUCUGCAGCUGAUGGAGGAAGGAAGAGGACAAGGAGGAAUGUAGCAGCCAAGACAAAAUGGAAGAGAUGAGGAAAAGGCUCUGGCUGAGAACAUUGAAAGCACAGCUGCUUUCCCACCUCUGAACACACCCAUAUUUGACAGACGAUGGGAAUCCACAUUUUUGAAGAGGCAUUUACAACCCGUUACUAAAGCAAAGGGCCACCAGGGGAAGUGGUCUUCACAAUAGAGGGAAUAUACUGUUAGAGCUGAGUGGAGCCAAGCAGCAGCUCACUCUUUACAAAGAGGGCCCAUGGCAUCUCCACCUGAACCCUUCAAAAGUUCACAGCUCAAGUGAAGGCAAAGUCCAUCCAUCCAGUCUGAUAGAAAGCUUUGCUGAGUUCCUUUGGAGGAGUAUGAGAUCCCUUACAUCUAAGCAAGCUGAAGAUCUGCCCAGGUCCAGGAUCAGAAUCUCUGCUACCAGUUUUCAAAAUGGCAAGACUGCAUUCUUAUCUCAUACUCACAUUUUUGUUGCAAAUUUUGCUGACUUCAAAUUAUAUGUAAAAUAUCCCCUUCCCAAGUGGAAAUAAAUACAUAUGUAAAUGAACAAAAGAACUUCCUACAGCCUUCAGAUUUCCAUCUCUCACAACAAAUUUAUUGUUUUUUUUUUUUUUUUAAUAAUAUGAAACUCACCCAUUGGUUUCCAGCAGCAAAAAGGCCUUCACUUCAGCAUCUCCUUUGGCCUAGAAAACUUCUCUAACUACUGGUGAUGUUAGGUUGCAAAUUAUGGAGCCUGAGGGCUUGCUAACAGUUUAUAUGCCAUCCCCUGCACAAGUGCUUACCAAAAAGACAGUUCUUAUUAGGAGGAACUGCACUGUACAAUUCAGCUAAGACUUACUGGGCAUACCCUUGUUACCUGAGUUUAGAAGCAGUUUAAUUUAAUGUAGCUUGAGGUUCAUGAUGUUUCUCACUGGAACUCACUGCAGGCACACAUGAGAAAACAUGCCCUUUACUUGUUUGCAUUUUAAAAAAGUGUAUAUUCAAAAUUUAAAUGAAAAAAAAAAUCUUUUCAUCUGCUCAGUUUGAGUUUCCACAUUUUCUCUCCCUUUAACAUUUCACCCUGAAACUGCAGUAUUGGAUUCUGAAAGCAUUCCUUAGAUUGUGUUAGUGUGACACCUAUUUGACAAUGUAAAACUGUAUUUUGCUGCGAAUAUUUGCCUUGUCUCAAAAUCUACAGUACUUGCUGGGAAGAUUUCCAGUGUCUUGGGGAGUCUUUCCUGCAAACCUUGUGCAAAACCUGAAGUAUUUUGCUGAAUGAGCUGAAUAUAUUUUGAUUGCCAUCAAGUUGUUCUAAAGCUCACUAAUUCUAUAUUGUUCAGGCUGUACUUUAUUUUAUGCAAUACCAACAUAAAUUGUACUUUUUUCCAUUUGAAAUAAAUUAAUUAGGGA
ensembl:lncRNA